rnacentral:lncRNA from 1 species
CUGGAACAUUGAGAGGUUCUGGAAUCCCAGUUCAUCUUUCAGGCCAAAGUGACUGACAACCAUCCAGAGACUCAUCCAGACAGACAGGAGAACACUGAUCUUUUCUUGGUAAGAGCAUCCUCAUCAAGUAAAUGCAUGAAAAUUACAACUUUCUGAAAGAAGUCCAACCACAUGUGAAAGAUAAUAAAAAUCUAGAAGAUUAUUUUUAUGACACCAUGGCCUAUUACUAUGGAAAAUAUGAUAAGAUAUUCUAAACUGCUCACCAAAGAAAAAAUCUUGGAUGGAAAAAAUGAAGUCAAAUGUGAAUCCCUCAUCUUUACAGAAACUGGAGAGAUUUGUCUAAAAUCUACUAAGAAUUUGGAGUCUUGGAAUAAUAUGACAGACUGUAGGAAGGCCAGUGACUUGACUAAAACAUAGAACAGUCAGACUUAAAGAGAUCUUGUGCUACUGACUGUGACAGCUAAUUCUUUGCUUGGGACAACCCAUGUCAAAAUUGUGAAGUAGUAAAAAUAACCUGGACUUAUAAAGUGUUGAACAAAU